GUAUCCGAUAUCAACUUGAGUUUCCAGCAUGGCAUGAGAGAUUUCAUCUUGAAUGGAAAAGCUGUAGGAAUUGAAGUGAGUGUCUAGUCGUUAAAAACUGAUGAAUUUGAUUAAAUUAGAAAAAUAAAAUAUAUUUAUGGUGAAAGCAAGUAAUGGCAUUUCCGCCAGCAGAGUUGGAUUCGAACAACGUUUGUUUUGUUGCUAAACGUCUUGCGUGAGGCAUGGCAAUGUCAUGGUGCUCGGUCUUCGUGGUCUAGUGCACUUAUGAAUGUUUUCAUUCUAUACUGACUCACUCUAUUUUUAUCGCUGUUUUACUGUUAAAGCCUGGUUUCCAUAUGGUCGUAACUGUCGCGAACGUAUACUAUUGUAACUGUCGUCAACGUAGUGUUCGCGACCAAAUGUAAACAUAAGGAAAAGUCUUGUCGAGAUACGCUGGGAACAGUUCACGACAUUUACAACAGUAUUCCCGACGACAGUUGCGACAGGCUAAAAACGUGUCGUGAGUCUCGUGACGGUUAUGUUUUAAUGUAACAUAAAAACGACAGCGUGGCAACGGUGAGUGGGCAAAGAUCCCCUUUGGGGAGACCGUGUUUGUCUUUUUUAAAACUGCCGCCAGCUGCUUGUACGACCCUGGCCUGGGUAUAAAGUUAACUUGCGACAGUGUCACGACAGUUACAUAUACAUGCAACCAUAUAUAUGGAAACAAGCAUAAAAAUCAUUCACGACAAACACUUCACGACACGUUCGCGACAGUUACAACCAUGUGGAAUUAGUGGAAACCAGGCUUAAUGGUUAUGAUUAAAUUAUAAGGUGAUUUCGUAGAUCUUCUAAUAAUUCAUUUAUUUAUUUAUUUAUUUAUUAAGCUUUGUCAAAUUUACAUGUAAUUGUAGGCCUACCAUGCAUGCAUAUCCUUAAUAUUUAGGCCUAUAUAAAAAAUACGCCCAAAUGUCUUGAGGGUACACACGCCACAGCUUUCGCUUUCUCCAAUUACAGUAGUCUGCCAGAAUCCAGACGUAAUUCCCUCGUUUGAAACGAGGAAAUUACGUCUAGAUUUGCAGACUACAAUUACAGCGGCUCUAAUAAGCCCCCGAGACCCGAACUUUUAUAUUUGGCGGGUUGGGGAAAGAGAUUAUUAUUGAAGGUAGAAAAAUAGGCGGGACACGGGACUAUACAGGGUGUCCCAAAAAAGUACCCUCUAUAGAAAUUUAUCCUAUUGUUGUUAGGCACAAGAUUUUAUGCGACUGGUAAUUAAAAAUUUAAUUCAAUUGUGUUUACGCACUCUUGUGUUCAGCAUAGUGCUCAGGCAUUCAAAUUAUAACACUGAAUAGGAUAAUUUCUAUAGAGGGUACUUUUUUUGGGACACCCUGUAUAGGUUGUCUAAAAAAAGUGACCUUUAGAAAUCACCCUUUUGUUGUUAAAAGCGCGAUAUUAUAAACCUGGGUAUUUAAUUAAAUACUCCUUGGCACUUGCUCGACCUUGCUCUGUAGUCAGUUGAACCAUUCUUGAUUGAUCUGCAUGACGGGACUAAUAUCUAAGUCGUUUAAACUUUCAAUUAGAAUUUACAAUUUAUGCAGCUUUAAGCCUGGUUCACACUGGUCGUAAUUCGUCGACGAUCUAUUGUAUUCUUUUCCGACAGACAAAGCAUUUUACACACCAAUCGACCAUGCACAGACAAUGGAAAUCUCCAAUUCUUACGACCAGUGUGAACCAGUCUUUAAUAUGCUCGCGAUCGUACGAUUACAAUGCAUUCGAAACUCUCAGAGGUAGCUAAUAAAGAUUGGCAGUGCACGGUUUACAACAAAAGGGUGAUUUAUACACCCAGUAGAGCGUCAGUUGCACUCAUUCCCCAGGGACCAACUCAACAAAAGACAUGGCGGCCAUGUUGGUGUUCCAGACAAAAGAGUUUAUUAAAUAAUUAAAAUUCUUUUGAAUUGGAACAGAUCUUCGGUCCCAGGGCCUCAUGGCAACGCAGUGUCAGCCGUGAGGCUGAGGUAUUAUAGUGAUUUUACCGAAACGGCUUGAAAUAGAAUAUCACUAGCUGCAUGCUCACUUGGCUUCUUCGGUUGCCAUUUUAACACCGAGGUUCUGCAUGUGUUAUAAUAUAUCUGCAUUUUUUCAACUUGGUAACUAUGCCUUACCAAAUAUAUGCAUUGUCCUCAUUUCGAGGAUUACGUCAUUUGUCUUACAUUGGAAAUAGAGAAUAAUACAUGGGUGCGCGGAAAUACCAGAUUUAUUUCGAGUGUUGAACAUGAUAUCUCACGAGUGAGCGCAGCGAACGAGUGAGAUAUCAUGUUCAACACGAGCACCCAUGUAUUUUUCAAGCACCCAUGUAUUUUUCUGUUUAUUAUAUAAACACAAUUCAGUGAAAAACAAUAAAACGUCCGUGGCAAUGCGUUUUACAACAAAUGAUAUUUUCACACGUAAAAAUAUCGUAUUUUUUACGUGUGUUUAAAUACGAUUUGUGGCCAAAAACUCUAUAUAACACUUAUGUUUAUAUAAUAAUACUGGGUUUUUUUUAUAGCGCAUCCCUGCAUUUUUUGCAACUCUGACAUCUGGUAGCAUCGGACCAAACUACGCUCAUGAUGCCAUCAAGUUUAAUGACGUCUCAUUAAAUAUUGCAAAUGGUUACAAUCCCAGCACUGGAAAGUUUACUGCCUGUUACG